AUUGAACGCUGGCGGCAGGCCUAACACAUGCAAGUCGAACGGUAACAGGAAGAAGUUUGCUUCUUUGCUGACGAGUGGCGGACGGGUGUGUCAUGUCUGGGAAACUGCUUGAUGGAGGGGGAUAACUACUGGAAACGGUAGCUAAUACCGCAUAACGUCGUAAGACCAAAGAGGGGGACCUUAGGGCCUAUUGCCAUCGGAUGUGGACAGAUGGGAUUAGGUAGUAGGUGGGGUAACGGUACACCUAGGCGACGAUCACUAGAUGGGGUGAGAGGAUGACCAGCCACGCGGGAGCUGAGACACGGACCAGACUCCUACGGGAGGCAGCAGUGGGGAAUAUUGCACAAUGGGCGCAAGCCUGAUGCAGCCAUGCCGCGUUUAUGAAGAAGGCCUUCGGGUUGUAAAGUGCUUUCAGCGGGGAGGAAGGGAGUGAAGUUAAUACCUAUGCUCAUUGACGUUACCCGCAGAAGAAGCACCGGCUAACUCCG
rnacentral:rRNA from 1 species